rnacentral:rRNA from 1 species
AGCGAACGCUGGCGGCAGGCCUAACACAUGCAAGUCGAACGAAGCCUUCUGGCUUAGUGGCGGACGGGUGAGUAACACGUGGGAACGUACCUUUUGGUUCGGAAUACCGCAGAGAAAUUUGCGCUAAUAAAUACUGAGCCCUUCGGGGGAAAGAUUUAUCGCCGACAGAUUGGCCCGCGUUGGAUUAGGUAGUUGGUGUGGUAAAGGGGCACCAAGCCUACGAUCCAGAGCUGGUCGUAGAGGAUGAUCAGACACACUGGGACUGAGCACACGGCCCAGACUCCUACGGGAGGCAGCAGUGGGGAAUCUUGCGCAAUGGGCGAAAGCCUGACGCGGCCAUGCCGCGUGAAUGAUGAAGGUCUUAGGAUUGUAAAGUUCUUUUACCAGGGACGAUAAUGACGGUACCUGGAGAAAAAGCCCCGGCUAACUUCGUGCCAGCCGCCGCCGUAAUAC